UUGACUGUUUUUGCAAAGACAUUGUCUGUUGAAAAGAUAAUAGAUAAUUUCUGCCCACUGCAGGUUUAGUAAAGGGCUGCAGUAUUUUGACUGUAUAAAGGUAGCAUAAUCAUUAGUUUUUUAAUUGGAAACUGGUAUGAAGAGGAAGCGGGGAGGUGGUGUAUUUUAAAGGGGAUUUGAAUUUUAUGGCUUUGUGAAAAAUCAAAGAUUUAUCUAAAAGACAAGAAGACCCUAUUUAAGUUUAAUUGGUUUUUAUAAAAAGCAUAAAGGAAUUAUAAUAAGAUUAGUGUAAUUUUUGAGUGAGCAAUUUAGCUGGGGCGGCGAAUUAAUAAACAAAAUUUAGGGUUUAACGAGAAAUUAGGCGUAAUAAGGACCUAAUCGGGUUAGAUGAAAGGAUAAUUACUUUAGGGAUAACAGCGUUAUCAUUCUUUAGAGUUCUGAUUGACAGAGUGGUUUGCGACCUCGAUGUUGGAUUAGGAUUAGCGUUGGUGCAGUAGUCGGCGUGUC
rnacentral:rRNA from 1 species